CUUCUCACCAAACAAAUACUAUCAACACAGUAACAAAUGUGAUAUAUAUAUUACCAAAGGACUUAAGCAACAUUAUCUCUAAAAUUUGUUCUUACACUGGACAACUAGUACACAACUCUACUGACCUUGCCAAAGAAUUUCAAAAAUUAUAUUCUCAUCUGCAUAACAUACCCUCAAACAGUGACCCUGACUGGUCACCCAACAGUCACCUUAGACAGACCUAAAGAACUGAACAAACUUCUGCUAGCUAUUAAACAAUCACCACUGAACAAAAUCACUGGUCCUGACUAUAACGAUG